rnacentral:lncRNA from 10 species
GAGCUGCUGUAGCCCCUACGUGGUGAGUAGAUCGUCUCCACAGAAAUCAGCGGAGGCUUCCACAGUCCCUGGUUGGAAUGGAACCGGCGGUGAGGAUGAGAGGCGCUGAAGACCAGAAGACCCAGGGCGUGAACGGGGCGUGUCAUCCCUGGAGUUUCAGUAGAAUUUCAGGCCUGUCUGCUUGAGCAGCAGAGGAGGAGUUUCUGUGUGCCUGUGAGAGACUGUGUGUGUGUGUGUGUGUGUGUGUGUGUGUGAGAUGAAUGAACAGGGUUGUGUACGUGUGUGUGCGUUAGACAAAUGAACAGUGUUGUGUACCUGUGUGAAUUGUCACUGUGACUCCAGGCUCUAGGCUCUGCAGAUUCCUCAGCCCUAUCGCCUCACAGACACUUGGGAUGUGCAGCAGGUAAAAGAGAGAAGCCAGAUUCAUGGAGGCGUGAAGGAUCCCAGCAAGAAAACACAGACUUGAUCUUGAGACGAGAUUUUUGAAAUUGGUUGCGGCCUCAAGGCAGGCUCUGAGAAGACUCGAUAAAGAGUUCUCAGGAAUAGGCAUCCCUCCUGGAUAUUUCCCCCUUGGAAGCGCCGAGGAGCCAGCUCUAUGUUUGUAACCAUAGCAUUUCUAAAGCUCCAGCCCCAGGAACCUGCUGUGAAUUAGAGACAGAUUCCACCCUAGGCAUCACUGAUCUUGGCCUCUCUUGUAUUGGGAAGGUCAACACUGUUCCAGUUUCUCUCCUACUCCCAUCUGGUUGUGCUCGGUGAAGUAGGUGAGCAGUGCUACCCUUCUGUUAAAAAAAAAAAAAAAAAAAAGAUCCUGAAAGAGGAAAGAAUUUUUGCUACACAUCUGAAAGCUAAAGUCCAGUUGAACUCCAGAGGAGAACACAGCCCAGGUAACCCCUCGUUUGCAGCCUGUGAGACCAGCCUGAGGACAGCACCCAGCUAAACUCCAGGUCCAUGGAAACUGUGAGAUUUUAUAUAUUUAUGUUGUUUUAAGCUAAAUUCGUGGUAAUUGGUUAUGGUAGCAACUGAAAAUUAAUGCAGUAAGAAAGUCUAAGGAGAUCGGAAGAGACUAAAGAGAAAUAACAGCUAAAUGCAACGUAGAUUAAUGUGUGGGAUCCUGGAAAAGAAAAAGGACAUUAAUGGGAAAACAUAUUUGAAUAAGAUGUGCAAAUUUUUCGUAUUGUACCAAUGUUAAUUUCCUGGUUUUGAUAAUUAUCCUUUGGUUAUGUAAGAUAAACGCUAGAAUGAAGGGUAUAUGAGAACCCUCUGUACUACUCUUGCAACUUUUCUCUAAGUCUAAAAUAAGUGGAAAUUAAAAGUUAAAACAAAAAAAAAGGAAAAUUUUAUCUAUCCCAAGACCACAAAGUUAUUUUUCUGUUUCUUCCUCCAGAAUCUUUAUUGUUUGUUUUCACACUUAGACCUAUGAUCCAUCUUGAAUUUAUAUCUGUGUAUGUAGUGGGAUGAAGUUCAAAAUCAUUUUUUUCAUACAGAUAUCCAAGUGCACUGGCACCGUUUGUUAAAAACACUGGCCUUCUCUUAAGCUGCAGUCAGACUUUUACUGUAAAGCAUGGGCCCAUAUAUGUGCAGGAGUCUUUCUACUUUUCCGUUGGUCCUCUUUGUCAAUCUUUGUGCCAGCACCUCCAUUUUAAUUCCUGUAGCUUUAUAUUAUAUCUUGAUAAUCUGGUAAUAUAAGUUGAAGAACAACUUUGUUCUUCAAAAUCACUUUGUCUAUUCCAGGUUCUUUGCAUUGCUCUAUAAUUUUAGAAUGAGUUAAUUAAUUUUCUCAAAACAAACAAAACGCCCUGCUGACAUUUUGUUGGCAGUACAUUGAAUCAGUAGAUAAAUUUAGAGAGAAUUAUCUCAAAAUUGAGUCUUACAGUUCAUGAACAUGGAAUACAUUUCCAUUUAUUGAAUUCAUCUUUAAUUUCUUUCCUUAAGGUUUUGUUGUUUCCUGUCUAAAGGUCUUGCACAUCUGUUAAAUUUAUUCCUGUUUUACAUUUUUUAUGUUUUUACAAACUGUUAAGGUUUUAAAAAUUUUAUUUUUCAGUAGCUUUGCUUUAAUAUAAUUGUUUUAUACUUUUACCCUUUAUUCAGCAAUAAAUUAUUUAAUUUAAAGCUUGUGGAAUUAAAAAAUAUUUUUAUGUACAUAAUCAUGUAAUCUACACUAUCUGCAAAUAAAGAUCAUUUUACUUCCUUCCA